rnacentral:rRNA from 1 species
UCUGUAGCAAGGUUAACCGAAUAGGGGAGCCGAAGGGAAACCGAGUCUUAACUGGGCGUUAAGUUGCAGGGUAUAGACCCGAAACCCGGUGAUCUAGCCAUGGGCAGGUUGAAGGUUGGGUAACACUAACUGGAGGACCGAACCGACUAAUGUUGAAAAAUUAGCGGAUGACUUGUGGCUGGGGGUGAAAGGCCAAUCAAACCGGGAGAUAGCUGGUUCUCCCCGAAAGCUAUUUAGGUAGCGCCUCGUGAAUUCAUCUCCGGGGGUAGAGCACUGUUUCGGCAAGGGGGUCAUCCCGACUUACCAACCCGAUGCAAACUGCGAAUACCGGAGAAUGUUAUCACGGGAGACACACGGCGGGUGCUAACGUCCGUCGUGAAGAGGGAAACAACCCAGACCGCCAGCUAAGGUCCCAAAGUCAUGGUUAAGUGGGAAACGAUGUGGGAAGGCCCAGACAGCCAGGAUGUUGGCUUAGAAGCAGCCAUCAUUUAAAGAAAGCGUAAUAGCUCACUGGUCGAGUCGGCCUGCGCGGAAGAUGUAACGGGGCUAAACCAUGCACCGAAGCUGCGGCAGCGACACUGUGUGUUGUUGGGUAGGGGAGCGUUCUGUAAGCCUGUGAAGGUGUACUGUAAGGUAUGCUGGAGGUAUCAGAAGUGCGAAUGCUGACAUAAGUAACGAUAAAGCGGGUGAAAAGCCCGCUCGCCGGAAGACCAAGGGUUCCUGUCCAACGUUAAUCGGGGCAGGGUGAGUCGACCCCUAAGGCGAGGCCGAAAGGCGUAGUCGAUGGGAAACAGGUUAAUAUUCCUGUACUUGGUGUUACUGCGAAGGGGGGACGGAGAAGGCUAUGUUGGCCGGGCGACGGUUGUCCCGGUUUAAGCGUGUAGGCUGGUUUUCCAGGCAAAUCCGGAAAAUCAAGGCUGAGGCGUGAUGACGAGGCACUACGGUGCUGAAGCAACAAAUGCCCUGCUUCCAGGAAAAGCCUCUAAGCAUCAGGUAACAUCAAAUCGUACCCCAAACCGACACAGGUGGUCAGGUAGAGAAUACCAAGGCGCUUGAGAGAACUCGGGUGAAGGAACUAGGCAAAAUGGUGCCGUAACUUCGGGAGAAGGCACGCUGAUAUGUAGGUGAAGUCCCUCGCGGAUGGAGCUGAAAUCAGUCGAAGAUACCAGCUGGCUGCAACUGUUUAUUAAAAACACAGCACUGUGCAAACACGAAAGUGGACGUAUACGGUGUGACGCCUGCCCGGUGCCGGAAGGUUAAUUGAUGGGGUCAGCGCAAGCGAAGCUCUUGAUCGAAGCCCCGGUAAACGGCGGCCGUAACUAUAACGGUCCUAAGGUAGCGAAAUUCCUUGUCGGGUAAGUUCCGACCUGCACGAAUGGCGUAAUGAUGGCCAGGCUGUCUCCACCCGAGACUCAGUGAAAUUGAACUCGCUGUGAAGAUGCAGUGUACCCGCGGCAAGACGGAAAGACCCCGUGAACCUUUACUAUAGCUUGACACUGAACAUUGAGCCUUGAUGUGUAGGAUAGGUGGGAGGCUUUGAAGUGUGGACGCCAGUCUGCAUGGAGCCGACCUUGAAAUACCACCCUUUAAUGUUUGAUGUUCUAACGUGGACCCGUGAUCCGGGUUGCGGACAGUGUCUGGUGGGUAGUUUGACUGGGGCGGUCUCCUCCUAAAGAGUAACGGAGGAGCACGAAGGUUGGCUAAUCCUGGUCGGACAUCAGGAGGUUAGUGCAAUGGCAUAAGCCAGCUUGACUGCGAGCGUGACGGCGCGAGCAGGUGCGAAAGCAGGUCAUAGUGAUCCGGUGGUUCUGAAUGGAAGGGCCAUCGCUCAACGGAUAAAAGGUACUCCGGGGAUAACAGGCUGAUACCGCCCAAGAGUUCAUAUCGACGGCGGUGUUUGGCACCUCGAUGUCGGCUCAUCACAUCCUGGGGCUGAAGUAGGUCCCAAGGGUAUGGCUGUUCGCCAUUUAAAGUGGUACGCGAGCUGGGUUUAGAACGUCGUGAGACAGUUCGGUCCCUAUCUGCCGUGGGCGCUGGAGAACUGAGGGGGGCUGCUCCUAGUACGAGAGGACCGGAGUGGACGCAUCACUGGUGUUCGGGUUGUCAUGCCAAUGGCACUGCCCGGUAGCUAAAUGCGGAAGAGAUAAGUGCUGAAAGCAUCUAAGCACGAAACUUGCCCCGAGAUGAGUUCUCCCUGACCCUUUAAGGGUCCUGAAGGAACGUUGAAGACGACGACGUUGAUAGGCCGGGUGUGUAAGCGCAGCGAUGCGUUGAGCUAACCGGUACUAAUGAACCGUGAGGCUUAACCUUACAACGCCGAAGGUGUUU